rnacentral:ncRNA from 1 species
AUAUUGCGUUUUGCUUUUUAUUACGCUAUCUUAUGUCUGUGUAUUUCAAUGGAAUCAAGUACGGCGGCGGUCUGCGAACUGCCGGCAAAGCUUGAGCUGGGUGCGCAACUGUAUCGGAAAAAAAAGCUGUUUUCAAAAAUCAUCAGCAUUUUUCAAACUCUGCUGAUUAUGUCACUGCAUUCUGCGGGAAGGCGGAAACAGUUUCCGGAGUCAGGAAACGUUGGUACACGCUAAACUUU